rnacentral:rRNA from 1 species
UACGUAGGGUGCGAGCGUUAAUCGGAAUUACUGGGCGUAAAGCGUGCGCAGGCGGUGCUGUAAGACCGAUGUGAAAUCCCCGGGCUUAACCUGGGAACUGCAUUGGUGACUGAAGCGCUGGAGUAUGGCAGAGGGGGGUGGAAUUCCACGUGUAGCAGUGAAAUGCGUAGAGAUGUGGAGGAACACCGAUGGCGAAGGCAGCCCCCUGGGCCAAUACUGACGCUCAUGCACGAAAGCGUGGGGAGCAAACAGG